GACGAACGCUGGCGGCGUGCCUAAAACAUGCAAGUCGAACGAGGUAGCAAUACCUAGUGGCGAACGGCGGAGUAAUACAUAAACAACGUGCCCUGAAGACUGGGAUAUACAGCUGAAAAGCUGGGCAAUACCGGAUGUGGCAGCAACUCGGCAUCGAGAUGCUAUCAAAUGGUUUUUCGCUUCUGGAGCGGUUUAUGGCCUAUCAGGUAGUUGGUGGGGUAAUGGCCACCAAGCCGACGACGGGUAGCGGGUCUGAGAGGAUGAUCCGCUCGAGUGGGACUGAGACACGGCCCACACACCUACGGGUGGCAGCAGUUGGGAAUCUUGCACAAUGGGGGAAACCCUGAUGCAGCCAUGCCGCGUGAGUGAUGAA
rnacentral:rRNA from 1 species